GAUGAACGCUGGCGGCGUGCCUAAUACAUGCAAGUCGAGCGAACAGACGAGGAGCUUGUUCUUCUGACGUUAGCGGCGGACGGGUGAGUAACACGUGGAUAACCUACCUAUAAGACUUGGAUAACUUCGGGAAACCGGAUCCAAUACCGGAUAAUAUAUUGAACCGCAUGGUUCAAUAGUUCAAGACGGUUUUGCUGUCACUUUUAGAUGGAUCCGCGCCGGAUUAGCUAGUUGGUAAGGUAACGGCUUACCAAGGCAACGAUGCGUAGCCGACCUGAGAGGGGGAUAGGACACACUGGAACUGAGACAAGGUCCAGACUCCUACGGGAGGCAGCAGUAGGGAAUCUUCCGCAAUGGGCGAAAGCCUGACGGAGCAACGCCGCGUGGGUGAAGAAGGUCUUCGGGUCGUAAAACUCUGUUAUUAGGGAAGAACAAAUGUGUAAGUAACUAUGCACGUCUUGACGGUACCUAAUGAAAAAGCAACGGCUAACUACGUG
rnacentral:rRNA from 1 species